rnacentral:rRNA from 1 species
AGCUCCAAUAGCGUAUAUUAAAGUUGUUGCGGUUAAAAGGCUCGUAGUUGGAUUUUGGGAUUUGAAUGAUGGGUCCGGUUCUAUCCGCGUACUUAUCGUUCUGUCCUUCUGUCUGGGGAUUCCGCGUGUCCUCUUAACUGAGGUGCGUGGGAGCUUCCAGUACUCUUACUUUGAACAAAUUCACGUGCUCAAAGCAGGCGAACGCCUUGAAGAUAUUAGCAUGGAAUAACUUAUAGGACUUCGGUUCUAUUUUGUUGGUUACGGACUGAAGUAAUGAUUAAUAGGGACAGUUGGGGGCAUUAAUAUUUAAUUGUCAGAGGUGAAAUUCUUAGAUUUAUGAAAGAUUAACUUCUGCGAAAGCAUUUGCCAAGGAUGUUUUCAUUAAUCAAGAACGAAAGUA